rnacentral:rRNA from 2 species
UAGAGACGCUGGCGGCGUGCCUAAUACAUGCAAGUCGAACGAACUCUGGUAUUGAUUGGUGCUUGCAUCAUGAUUUACAUUUGAGUGAGUGGCGAACUGGUGAGUAACACGUGGGAAACCUGCCCAGAAGCGGGGGAUAACACCUGGAAACAGAUGCUAAUACCGCAUAACAACUUGGACCGCAUGGUCCGAGUUUGAAAGAUGGCUUCGGCUAUCACUUUUGGAUGGUCCCGCGGCGUAUUAACUAGAUGGUGGGGUAACGGCUCACCAUGGAAAUGAUACGUAGCCGACCUGAGAGGGUAAUCGGCCACAUUGGGACUGACACACGGCCCAAACUCCUACGGGAGGCAGCAGUAGGGAAUCUUCCACAAUGGACGAAAGUCUGAUGGAGCAACGCCGCGUGAGUGAAGAAGGGUUUCGGCUCGUAAAACUCUGUUGUUAAAGAAGAACAUAUCUGAGAGUAACUAGUUCAGGUACUUGACGGUAUUUAACCCAGAAAGCCACGGCUAACUACGUGCCAGCAGCCGCGGUAAUACGUAGGUGGCAAGCGUUGUCCCGGAUUUAUUGGGCGUAAAGCGAGCGCAGGCGGUUUUUUAAGUCUGAUGUGAAAGCCUUCGGCUCAACCGAAGAAGUGCAUCGGAAACUGGGAAACUUGAGUGCAGAAGAGGACAGUGGAACUCCAUGUGUAGCGGUGAAAUGCGUAGAUAUAUGGAAGAACACCAGUGGCGAAGGCGGCUGUCUGGUCUGUAACUGACGCUGAGGCUCGAAAGUAUGGGUAGCAAACAGGAUUAGAUACCCUGGUAGUCCAUACCGUAAACGAUGAAUGCUAAGUGUUGGAGGGUUUCCGCCCUUCAGUGCUGCAGCUAACGCAUUAAGCAUUCCGCCUGGGGAGUACGGCCGCAAGGCUGAAACUCAAAGGAAUUGACGGGGGCCCGCACAAGCGGUGGAGCAUGUGGUUUAAUUCGAAGCUACGCGAAGAACCUUACCAGGUCUUGACAUACUAUGCAAAUCUAAGAGAUUAGACGUUCCCUUCGGGGACAUGGAUACAGGUGGUGCAUGGUUGUCGUCAGCUCGUGUCGUGAGAUGUUGGGUUAAGUCCCGCAACGAGCGCAACCCUUAUUAUCAGUUGCCAGCAUUAAGUUGGGCACUCUGGUGAGACUGCCGGUGACAAACCGGAGGAAGGUGGGGAUGACGUCAAAUCAUCAUGCCCCUUAUGACCUGGGCUACACACGUGCUACAAUGGAUGGUACAACGAGUUGCGAACUCGCGAGAGUAAGCUAAUCUCUUAAAGCCAUUCUCAGUUCGGAUUGUAGGCUGCAACUCGCCUACAUGAAGUCGGAAUCGCUAGUAAUCGCGGAUCAGCAUGCCGCGGUGAAUACGUUCCCGGGCCUUGUACACACCGCCCGUCACACCAUGAGAGUUUGUAACACCCAAAGUCGGUGGGGUAACCUUUUAGGAACCAGCCGCCUAAGGUGGGACAGAUGAUAGGGGAAGUCGA